UCAGGAAUGUGGAUGGCUAGAGGAGCCCGGCCCAUUGCACUGACGGGGCGGGCGGCUCUAGUAUCUCUCUACGGAGGGCAUACACGUCGUAAUUUGUGGCAGUGGGGGCUCGCGUUCGCGCGGCCCCCGC
rnacentral:snRNA from 1 species